rnacentral:tRNA from 7 species
GCCCAUGUAGCUCAGGGGUAGAGCACACCCUUGGUAAGGGUGAGGUCAUCGGUUCAAUUCCGAUCAUGGGCUCCA